rnacentral:rRNA from 1 species
AUGCCGUCUGCAUCCAAAUCCAAGGCAAAGGAUAGGGCAGCUGCUUUCAAAGCAGCAAAAGAGCAACCUAAGGUGGCUGUCAAGCCAGUGGGGAAUGGCACCGGUGCAAGUACUUUUAAUAACCUCUCUGGAAAAUUUCAUCUUUUGGAGCCAUCAUCCUCUUUGCUCGGUAGCCAGGGUAACGAAAAGUUGAGGAAUACAGAUGAAAUAGACGAGCAUUCUCGUAGCUCGCAUGGUACAGGGGACUUUGAUUGCACCUCAAAUAAUGGUAGCUGUUCUGGAGAGUCAGAAGAUACAAAGGAAAAAUCAACCAGCACUGCGCCUCGAGUGGACUCUAUUCCUGGAUGUGAUCUUGAUAAACGUGAGAAGAUCAGACAAAAGAAUGAGAAGAAGCAUCAAAGGCAGAAGGAGAGGCGUGCCCAGGAAUUGCACGAGCGUUGCAAGGGAUACCUAAUGUCCAGAAAGUUGGAGACACUUGCUCAGAAGCUUGUUGCAAUGGGUUUCUCAUCAGACCAGGCAACGAUGGCCCUUGUACAUAACGAGGGCUGUCUUGAGGAGUCUGUUGCCUGGCUAUGUAAUUUUGAUGGCAGUGAUGAAACGAAGCAGCAAGCUGCAGCAGCUCAACAGUCUGGAGCUAAUUUGAAGAUUGAUAUAACUGAUGAGCUCGCAAAGAUUGUGAUCCUGGAGGCGAAAUUUAAGUGUACAAAGCAAGAGGUAGAAAGGGCUAUUGUUUCUUCUGAGGGUGAUCUAGAAAAGGCUGAAGAGGCCUUGAAGACCCAGAAGCAAGAAUCAGCAACAACCGCAUCUAAGCCUGAAGUGUCUGGUGAUUCAAGUGGCUUGGUUAACAAGCAGCAGGUCAUGCUUGCGCAGAACCCAGCAAGGCCUCAAACAAAUGGGUUCUCUUCAGUAGGGGCUCAGCAAAUGAGGAGAGAUGAGAAGGACCCAAAUUACAAGCUUUUAGUUAAUGGUAGUGGCCCAAAAGAACCUGCAGUUAAAGGGUUUCAACCAUUGGCCACAACAGUGAAGUCAGAUUUGGUCCGUCAACAAUUUUUUCAACCCGAGAAGAGGCGGGUUAUUGCCAAUUCGGUUCCAUCAGCUCCUUAUGUGACAUCAUCUCCGGUGCCUGUUGCAGUGCCACAAAUUAAGGCAGAAACACGACAUGUGGCAGCAGGCAAUGAGAUGAAAAGUGCAAUGCAUAACGGAAGCUUGCGAGAUCCGGUAGUUGUGAUGCAGCGUCUUCAAUCCGCAGCUGCCAAGCAAAGUCUACCAUCCACAAGCCAUAGUAUGUUUGCAUCAGAGCCACCUUCAAGGGAAUGGUACAUGAAUGGCGCAUCAGGGGUGGAUAUGAUGUUGAAUGGUGGUUUAGGGCAUGGACUACGUAAUAUGAGUUUGGAGAAUGCUAAUUCUGCCAAGCAGCAGUUCAUGCAUGCAAACCAUCAACAAAGUUUUGUUUCCAAUCCUGUGGAGCUGACUGCUAAUGGUUGGGGUGGUACAUGGGGUCCUGGAGGUGCAUCAUCUUCCCAGGCUGGGGCGUCGGCACAUGGGACGUUCAGAGGAGGAUGGAGCUCAUCCGAGCCGUCUUCAGCUUUAUCUCAUGCUGAUUGGAGAAGCAAUGCGCCAGCACCAUGCGACUACACUUCAAUAGAUUGGAGCCUCGACACAACAUUGUUAAACCCUGCAGCGAAGAGCGAAUGGCUGUCAGACACAUGGUCAACCAUGUUCAUGGGUGGCAGAUCCACAAGGCCUGCUGGGGGGAACCUUGGCCUUGGUGGUGCAGGAGGCAUGAAUGGGUUGCAUGAGAGCAGCAGUGGUCUUCCAAUGGAGCCUGCUCCAUCACCCCGCCCUUAUGAGUGGCCUUCUUUCUGCAGGGGAGGAUCUUCCUAG